rnacentral:rRNA from 1 species
GACGAACGCUGGCGGCGUGCCUAAUGCAUGCAAGUCGAACGCAUUUUCUUUCACCGUAGCUUGCUACACCGAAAGAAAAUGAGUGGCGAACGGGUGAGUAACACGUGGGUAACCUGCCCAUCAGCGGGGGAUAACACUUGGAAACAGGUGCUAAUACCGCAUAAUUCCAUUUACUGCAUGGUAGAUGGAUGAAAGGCGCUUUUGCGUCACUGAUGGAUGGACCCGCGGUGCAUUAGCUAGUUGGUGGGGUAACGGCCUACCAAGGCUGCGAUGCAUAGCCGACCUGAGAGGGUGAUCGGCCACACUGGGACUGAGACACGGCCCAGACUCCUACGGGAGGCAGCAGUAGGGAAUCUUCGGCAAUGGACGCAAGUCUGACCGAGCAACGCCGCGUGAGUGAAGAAGGUUUUCGGAUCGUAAAACUCUGUUGUUAGAAAAGAACAAGGAUGAGAGUGGAAAGUUCAUCCCUUGACGGUAUCUAACCAGAAAGCCACGGCUAACUACGUG